UACGUAGGGUGCGAGCGUUAAUCGGAAUUACUGGGCGUAAAGAGUGCGCAGGCGGCUUUGCGAGACAGAUGUGAAAUCCCCGGGCUCAACCUGGGAACUGCAUUUGUGACUGCAAGGCUAGAGUACGGCAGAGGGGGAUGGAAUUCCGCGUGUAGCAGUGAAAUGCGUAGAUAUGCGGAGGAACACCAAUGGCGAAGGCAAUCACCUGGGCCUGUACUGACGCUCAUGCACGAAAGCGUGGGGAGCAAACAGG
rnacentral:rRNA from 1 species